rnacentral:rRNA from 2 species
AGCGUACACGGUGGAUGCCCUGGCAGUCAGAGGCGAUGAAGGACGUGCUAAUCUGCGAUAAGCGUCGGUAAGGUGAUAUGAACCGUUAUAACCGGCGAUUUCCGAAUGGGGAAACCCAGUGUGAUUCGUCACACUAUCAUUAACUGAAUCCAUAGGUUAAUGAGGCGAACCGGGGGAACUGAAACAUCUAAGUACCCCGAGGAAAAGAAAUCAACCGAGAUUCCCCCAGUAGCGGCGAGCGAACGGGGAGCAGCCCAGAGCCUGAAUCAGUGUGUGUGUUAGUGGAAGCGUCUGGAAAGGCGCGCGAUACAGGGUGACAGCCCCGUACACAAAAAUGCACAUGCUGUGAGCUCGAUGAGUAGGGCGGGACACGUGGUAUCCUGUCUGAAUAUGGGGGGACCAUCCUCCAAGGCUAAAUACUCCUGACUGACCGAUAGUGAACCAGUACCGUGAGGGAAAGGCGAAAAGAACCCCGGCGAGGGGAGUGAAAAAGAACCUGAAACCGUGUACGUACAAGCAGUGGGAGCACGCUUAGGCGUGUGACUGCGUACCUUUUGUAUAAUGGGUCAGCGACUUAUAUUCUGUAGCAAGGUUAACCGAAUAGGGGAGCCGAAGGGAAACCGAGUCUUAACUGGGCGUUAAGUUGCAGGGUAUAGACCCGAAACCCGGUGAUCUAGCCAUGGGCAGGUUGAAGGUUGGGUAACACUAACUGGAGGACCGAACCGACUAAUGUUGAAAAAUUAGCGGAUGACUUGUGGCUGGGGGUGAAAGGCCAAUCAAACCGGGAGAUAGCUGGUUCUCCCCGAAAGCUAUUUAGGUAGCGCCUCGUGAACUCAUCUCCGGGGGUAGAGCACUGUUUCGGCAAGGGGGUCAUCCCGACUUACCAACCCGAUGCAAACUGCGAAUACCGGAGAAUGUUAUCACGGGAGACACACGGCGGGUGCUAACGUCCGUCGUGAAGAGGGAAACAACCCAGACCGCCAGCUAAGGUCCCAAAGUCAUGGUUAAGUGGGAAACGAUGUGGGAAGGCCCAGACAGCCAGGAUGUUGGCUUAGAAGCAGCCAUCAUUUAAAGAAAGCGUAAUAGCUCACUGGUCGAGUCGGCCUGCGCGGAAGAUGUAACGGGGCUAAACCAUGCACCGAAGCUGCGGCAGCGACGCUGAUGCGUUGUUGGGUAGGGGAGCGUUCUGUAAGCCUGUGAAGGUGUGCUGUGAGGCAUGCUGGAGGUAUCAGAAGUGCGAAUGCUGACAUAAGUAACGAUAAAGCGGGUGAAAAGCCCGCUCGCCGGAAGACCAAGGGUUCCUGUCCAACGUUAAUCGGGGCAGGGUGAGUCGACCCCUAAGGCGAGGCCGAAAGGCGUAGUCGAUGGGAAACAGGUUAAUAUUCCUGUACUUGGUGUUACUGCGAAGGGGGGACGGAGAAGGCUAUGUUGGCCGGGCGACGGUUGUCCCGGUUUAAGCGUGUAGGCUGGUUUUCCAGGCAAAUCCGGAAAAUCAAGGCUGAGGCGUGAUGACGAGGCACUACGGUGCUGAAGCAACAAAUGCCCUGCUUCCAGGAAAAGCCUCUAAGCAUCAGGUAACAUCAAAUCGUACCCCAAACCGACACAGGUGGUCAGGUAGAGAAUACCAAGGCGCUUGAGAGAACUCGGGUGAAGGAACUAGGCAAAAUGGUGCCGUAACUUCGGGAGAAGGCACGCUGAUAUGUAGGUGAAGUCCCUCGCGGAUGGAGCUGAAAUCAGUCGAAGAUACCAGCUGGCUGCAACUGUUUAUUAAAAACACAGCACUGUGCAAACACGAAAGUGGACGUAUACGGUGUGACGCCUGCCCGGUGCCGGAAGGUUAAUUGAUGGGGUCAGCGCAAGCGAAGCUCUUGAUCGAAGCCCCGGUAAACGGCGGCCGUAACUAUAACGGUCCUAAGGUAGCGAAAUUCCUUGUCGGGUAAGUUCCGACCUGCACGAAUGGCGUAAUGAUGGCCAGGCUGUCUCCACCCGAGACUCAGUGAAAUUGAACUCGCUGUGAAGAUGCAGUGUACCCGCGGCAAGACGGAAAGACCCCGUGAACCUUUACUAUAGCUUGACACUGAACAUUGAGCCUUGAUGUGUAGGAUAGGUGGGAGGCUUAGAAGUGUGGACGCCAGUCUGCAUGGAGCCGACCUUGAAAUACCACCCUUUAAUGUUUGAUGUUCUAACGUUGACCCGUAAUCCGGGUUGCGGACAGUGUCUGGUGGGUAGUUUGACUGGGGCGGUCUCCUCCUAAAGAGUAACGGAGGAGCACGAAGGUUGGCUAAUCCUGGUCGGACAUCAGGAGGUUAGUGCAAUGGCAUAAGCCAGCUUGACUGCGAGCGUGACGGCGCGAGCAGGUGCGAAAGCAGGUCAUAGUGAUCCGGUGGUUCUGAAUGGAAGGGCCAUCGCUCAACGGAUAAAAGGUACUCCGGGGAUAACAGGCUGAUACCGCCCAAGAGUUCAUAUCGACGGCGGUGUUUGGCACCUCGAUGUCGGCUCAUCACAUCCUGGGGCUGAAGUAGGUCCCAAGGGUAUGGCUGUUCGCCAUUUAAAGUGGUACGCGAGCUGGGUUUAGAACGUCGUGAGACAGUUCGGUCCCUAUCUGCCGUGGGCGCUGGAGAACUGAGGGGGGCUGCUCCUAGUACGAGAGGACCGGAGUGGACGCAUCACUGGUGUUCGGGUUGUCAUGCCAAUGGCACUGCCCGGUAGCUAAAUGCGGAAGAGAUAAGUGCUGAAAGCAUCUAAGCACGAAACUUGCCCCGAGAUGAGUUCU